ACUCCUGUAGCCCAACUGGCAGAGGCGGCUGUCUCAAAAACAGUCUAUGUGCGAGUUCAACUCUCGCCAGGAGUACCA
rnacentral:tRNA from 2 species